CAGUCGUACCGACGAGAAAUCAACUUAUCGUGUGCGAACUUGUGGGCGUGCGUGAGUUUCGGCCUCGCUGUUUGCAUGUUUGUGCGCUUUGGGUGUACUUUUUCGUAUGGUAGGCCAACGUCAGUUUCGAUUAUCAUAAAAUGACCGGCGGAAUGUAGCUUCGAUUUCGGUUGAAGUGUUAUAGCCUCUGGUAGAUGUGGUGAUUGGGACUGAGGAUUGCAACGAAUAUCCUUUGGGCUAUCCGUCUGACCUCUGAAAGUUGCUCAGGUGCCGAAAGCGUGCUUACGGUCAUCUAAGAUAACGUUCACCAGGCUAGAACGUGAUUACAUUCGUUAAGGACGUUGGCGUAAUGGCUUUAAACGA
rnacentral:rRNA from 1 species